rnacentral:rRNA from 1 species
CACCUACGGGUGGCUGCAGUCGAGAAUCUUCGGCAAUGAGCGCAAGCUUGACCGAGCGACGCCGCGUGCGGGAUGAAGGCCUUCGGGUUGUAAACCGCUUUGGUCCGAAAGAAAGGGUAAAACUUGAUCGAUCGGAGAAACAAGGACGGGCUAAGUUCGUGCCAGCAGCCGCGGUAAGACGAACCGUCCAAACGUUAUUCGGAAUCACUGGGCUUAAAGGGCGCGUAGGCGGCCGAGCGGGUCGUGGGUGAAAUCCCCCAGCUUAACUGGGGAACUGCUUACGAUACCACUGCGGCUCGAGGAAGGAAGGGGCAAUUGGAACUGUCGGUGGAGCGGUGAAAUGCGUUGAUAUCGACAGGAACGCCUGUGGCGAAAGCGAAUUGCUGGUCCUUUUCUGACGCUGAGGCGCGAAAGCCAGGGGAGCAAACGGGAUUAGAUACCCCGGUAGUCCUGGCCUUAAACGAUGAGAACUAGGUAGUGGGUCCGACCUGGGCACACUGCCGAAGCGAAAGUCUUA